UUCAGAAAGAUAUUAUGGAAGUUUCUCCCCUUGUUCAUUUAUAUCCUUAAAUCAGAGUAACUACUUCUACACAAGUGGGAUAGUCUCUUUGAAUAGUUCAAAGAAAAGAGGAGGCCAUAACGAAAAGGAGUGGGGUUCUAAUAAAAUUUUUUCGCUUUUUGUCAAAACGCAACCUAGUGGACAUAAAGGUAGCUACUUUUGACAACACAACGUCCGCGUAUAAUAAUUUUAUGGUUUCUCGUUACACGUGUUUCUAGUAAAAGAUUCAUCAUUUUGUAACAACGCUGAAAAGAGUAGCUGUUUUUUUAUAAGUUCAACGAACAUUUGAUCAAUAAAUAGCAUUCAAACCGUAGUUGGAUAGAGAAUACAACAACAUAUCAAUACAUUUCAUAUAAAUAUAUAUGUAUUUAUUUCUUUUUUCUGGUUAAAACUACGAAAAUCGAUUUUCCCAGCAUAAUCUUUAUUAGAAGAAAAAAAAAGGAGAUCACUUCGGAUUUUAGUGCUGGCUUUGACUGUUGCAAUGUACUUUGAAAAUUGUUUUUCAUAUACGUUGAAACUCUGGAGUGAAGGAAUUCCAGCAAAUGUUUUUAGCAGAAGACACGAUAAAAGGAUAGAAUAAAUAUGCAGCUAUGACCUCUUUUCUGAAAAAGAGUCUUCCUUUCAUUACCUCGUUUACUGGAGGAUUGAUAUUCUACAAAAUAUAUAGUUUUAUUAAAAAUAAACGAUUUGUUUCAUUUAUUGGUAAAGCAGUUUUCAUUACGGGAUGCGAUACAGGGUUUGGUUACUUAUUAACCAAACAACUUGCAAAGAUGGGCAUCUUUGUCUUUGCUUCUUGCUAUACGGAUGCUGGUAAAAGAAAAUUGGAAGAGGAAUCUUUACCAGCUGUUAUCCCAAUUAAGGUGGAUGUUAGAAAUACUGCAACUAUACAAGAGGCCUUUGAGAUCGUAUUGGCAACUGUCGAAGAAAAAGAUUUAAGUAAGUAGUAGGACAGGAUAUUGUAUAAAUUAUUGUUUAGUUAGGCCUAUUCGAACCCUCUUUAAGUCUAUUAUAGCAAUAUUUGUAACUUGGUUACUAGGAUUUAACGGUAAACAAGUGUCAAUCUUUGCCGAGAAAUGACAAAGAAUGGUGAAGUGUGCUCUUUCUGUGGUCAAGAUGAUAGAGAGGUAAUUAGGAUACUCGAAUGUGGCCAUCGUACUUGUCAGGAUUGCUCGAAAACUCUAAUAAGUAUCGAUAAGAGUGAUGUUGUUAUUUGCAAACUUUGCGUUGAGUCAGAGCAAGCUGAGGAUGUAAAUAUAAAUGUCGAAUACAUUAAUCCCUUAAGAGCAAAAAGAGAUAGGGAGGAAAAAGAGAAAGAAAAAGAAAAUGAAAAAGAAAAUGAAAAAGAGAAAGAAAAGAAAAGAGAAGACGAAGAACAAGAAAAAGAAAAGGAAAAAGAAAAAGAAAAGAAGGAUAGAAAAGAAACAGAAAAACUGACCGAAAAACAAGAGGAAAAGAAAGAAAGCUUUAAAGAAAUCGUCACUAAAGAGCAAGAUAAAAUUGAGAAUAGUCAGGAAAGUCAGAAAGAAAACACUAUUGAAAUCGAUAAAGAAAAUCCUAAGAGAAAUGAAAGAAAAAAGAGUAGUUCUUCUGAAUCAAGUUCAAGUAGUUCAUCUUCUGACGAUGAAGAGGAAGACAAUGAUCAAAGAAAUUUAUGCUCAGAAUUAGUAGAAGAAAUUGAGUUAUCGAAGAAUCAAAUAAUGGGUCUAACCUCUCUUCCGGAUGAAGAAGGAUUAAUCUUAGUAACAGAUUCUGAUAUCGUAUUAUUGGAUCUGACAGGAAAGGAAAUUCAUAAAUUUCAUUACCUAAUUAAUCACUCAUACACUGGUGGUUUAUGCCUAUCUGAAGACGGAAAUAGAAUUCUUGUGGGUUUAUCGAGUCCAAAAUAUACAGGUGUUGCAUUUUACGAAAGAACAGGGAAAUUUCGAUAUUCAGCUUUCAUUAAACAUCCGGGAGUCAUAACAGCCGUUCAAACUUUUGAUGACGGCCUAAUAAUAUUAGAUAGAGAGAAGAAAAGUAUUUAUCACCUAAAUUCAGAGAAGAGAAUCAUGGAAGAAUUUCCCGGAGAUAGGCGCCAUCUAGCUGAUUUGGUUCACUUAGCAAUUGAUUACCAAUAUCGUUUCUUAAUCUUAGAUCGACGUAAUUGCACAAUCGAAUGUAUGAAUGAGAAGGGUAAAGUUUUAUUUAGCUUCGGUAGCCCUGAAAAUCUCAAUAAUCCAAUAAAAAUAUUAGCGGCUGAAGAAGAUUUAAUCUUAGUAUUGGGGACGAAUAAAAUAACAGCUUUCAAUUACGAAGGUCGAUUUAUCACCAAUAUAUAUCAGACUAAAACUCAUGAAUUUGUAGAUUUUUGUAAAUUGGCACCAAAGUUAAUUGCCAUACUAAGAAAAGAUGGAAAAAUAAUUAAGAUACGAUAUAAUAUCAUGUACCAAAAUUUUCGGAAUACUGCAAUAAAAAGGAAGACAAAUGGCAAAAAAGGACAAAUAAAUUCAACGAAUAAUCAAUUAACUUUUACUCAAAAGAGUACAUGCUGUUGUAUAUCUUAAAAAUGAAAUAGAAAUUUGUAUACUAGGCCUAAUUUAGUAAUAAUAAAAAAAAUACUUAUAGUUAUUUGUUCUUUGUAUGUGUUUUUUAUACAGUUUUCUGGGCUAUUGUAAAUAACGCUGGCGUUUCCACCGUUAAUUCGCCGUUUGAAUUCUAUACGAGAGAUGAUUACGAAAAUGUUUUCAAUAUAAACGUUUUCGGUAUAGCCGAAGUCUCUAGAAUAUUCUUGCCUCUUUUGAAAAUUUCACAAGGAAGAAUAAUAAAUACAACAAGUGCUUCUGGUUUUCUUCCGCUACCUUCGGCAGCCGUUUACUCAACUAGCAAAUACGCUGCCGAAGCUCUAUCGGAUAUUAUGAGAAUAGAGGCAAGAAGAUGGGGAAUAAAGGUGUCCAAAAUUCAACCUGGUCUUUUUAAAACGGAUUGCCAUAAUUAUGAACGUAUGAAAACACUUCGAAAUAGACAAUGGUCCCGUUUACCAGAAGCUAUUCGAUUAGAAUACGGAAAUAAGUUUUCGUAUAGUUCUCUCAAUAUAGCUGAAAAGCAAAUCGAUACGAGAGCUUCGACUAAUUUACAAUUAGUUAUUGAUGCCUACUUGAACGCUCUCUUCUCUAUUCAACCCCAUACCUCUUACAUUAUUGGAUCGGAUGCAAAAUGGGUAUUCUAUCCUCUCUCAUUUGUUCCACAUUGCUUAAGGGAUGUUAUAUUGAGUUUCAUUAGUGCUCCUUUAUUAAAUAGGAGAAAAUGGAAUUUUAAAAAGAGAAAGAACUAAAAACAAAAAUCAUAAAUUUCUUAAAG
rnacentral:misc_RNA from 1 species